rnacentral:lncRNA from 1 species
CCUGUUCAUCCUUCUUCUUUCCUUUUUUUGAGCCUCUCUAACAUUGCAAGAUCCUCCGAAAAGACCUCCCUCUUCAUCAUCCAUUCCUGCUACUCAUGGACCUUAACACUGAGAUGAUUUUCUCAUAUAUCAGUAUCUCCUUACCAUAUAGCAGCAUAGUCACCAAUGGAUCAAAACUCUUGGAUAGCGAACACAACAGCAGUAAGCUCUUAUCUUUCUCUUCAAGCUCCACCUCAAUAUUGAGAAAAAUCCAUGCUCAUUCGGUCAAACCACUGAAUAUGUCCUACAACAUCCUCAUCCUUCUGU